rnacentral:tRNA from 15 species
GCGGGAGUAGCUCAGUUGAUAGAGCGAUGCCUUGCCAAGGCAUAGGUCGCGGGUUUGAGCCCCGUCUCCCGCUCCA